rnacentral:rRNA from 1 species
GCGCAGCAGGCGCGAAUUUUUCACAAUGGGGGAAACCCUGAUGGAGCGACGCCGCGUGGAGGAUGAAGGCCUUUUGGUCGUAAACUCCUGUCAAACGGGAACAAGAAAGUGAUAGUACCGUUAGAGGAAGAGGCGGCUAACUCUGUGCCAGCAGCCGCGGUAAUACAGAGGCCUCAAGCGUUGUUCGGAUUCAUUGGGCGUAAAGGGUGCGUAGGUGGCUUGUUAAGUUGAAGGUGAAAUCUCGGGGCUCAACUCCGAAACUGCCUUCAAUACUGGCGAGCUCGAGGAUUGUAGAGGAGAAUGGAAUUCACGGUGUAGCAGUGAAAUGCGUAGAUAUCGUGAGGAAGACCAGUGGCGAAGGCGAUUCUCUGGGCAAUUCCUGACACUGAGGCACGAAGGCCAGGGAGCAAACGGGAUUAGAUA